GACUAAUGAGGUGAAGAACAGCCGUCAUGGACAGGGCUCAAUCUUACAAACAGCUGUGUGAGUAAUGGUGAGAGACACA